rnacentral:rRNA from 1 species
UACGUAGGGGGCAAGCGUUGUCCGGAAUCAUUGGGCGUAAAGCGCGUGUAGGCGGCUUCGUAAGUCCGUUGUGAAAGUCCAGGGCUCAACCCUGGAAUGCCGAUGGAUACUGCGGAGCUAGAGUCCGGAAGAGGCGAGUGGAAUUCCUGGUGUAGCGGUGAAAUGCGCAGAUAUCAGGAGGAACACCAAUGGCGAAGGCAGCGCGCUGGGACGGGACUGACGCUGAGACGCGAAAGCGUGGGGAG